AACUCAGCUAGGGAGAGUAUAACAUUCAUGUUGACGAGACCUAGACGAAACACAGAGGAAAAUUAUUAAUCACUGGAUAGUAUUAGUAAUGACUCUGUGUCCAUGA
rnacentral:ribozyme from 1 species